rnacentral:rRNA from 1 species
AUUGAACGCUGGCGGCAGGCCUAACACAUGCAAGUCGAGCGAGCGGCGGACGGGUGAGUAAUGUCUGGGAAACUGCCUGAUGGAGGGGGAUAACUACUGGAAACGGUAGCCAAUACCGCAUACCAUCAGAUGCGCCCAGAUGGGAUUAGCUAGUAGGUGGGGUAACGGCUCACCUAGGCGACGACCCCUAGCUGGUCUGAGAGGAUGACCAGCAACCCUGGAGCUGAGACACGGUCCAGAAUCCUACGGGAGACAGCAGUGGGGAUUAUUUCGCAAUGGGCACAAGCCUGAUGCGGCCAUGCCGCGUGUGUGAGGAAGGCCUUCGGGUUGUAAAGCACUUUCAGCGGGGGGGCGUUACCCGCAGAAGAAGCACCGGCUAACUCCGUGCCAGCAGCCGCGGUAAUUC